CUGCUUCCCAGAUGUGCUGGGUGCCAGGCUGGCAUUUCUCCUAGAAUGUUUUCUGCUGACCUAUCUCUCACUGCCUAGGGACAGGAAGGGCAGAGAGGCCUGAGGCCAGACCCCUGGGGUCCACCUCCUUCCUGUUUUCCCUGCAUCCUGCUUUCCUCCGCUAACAAGCUGCAGAGGAUUGAGGAAGUGGAACGGUCUGGGACCCAGCGCAGGAAGCUUGGGGCCGGAGUCCCAGCAUCCGGAGUGCAACAAUGGAAGCUUCAAGCACCAGGAAAAGAGACACAGACAGAGGCACAGGGAGAGGAAAACAGAGUCAGAGAGGGAACAAGAAACAGAGGCAGAGAUACAGAAAAGCAGAGAGAGAGAUUGCCAAAGUAACAGAGAAAGACAGGAACAAAGACAGAAAGAGAAACAGUGACAGAGACACGGAGAGAAAGAGCAACAGAAAGGUGCUGAGGAGAAAGUGAGAGAAACAGGACAAAAGCAGAAAGGGAACAAGAUAGAGAAAGAGAAACUGAUAACAGGCGGAAGACAUUGAGGAAAGGAGAACUCAGGAAUGUUGGUAGUGAAACUAGAGAUUGAGAGACGUAGCAGGAAAUAACAAAAGAAUAAGAAAGAACAAAAGACUGAGAAAGAUUAUAAGGAGAAACUGAGAGGCUCACUGAAAAAUGGAAAAAGAGAAAGUGUAAGGGCCUUCUAAGCCUCUCCCUCUCCCUCUUCCUCUCUCCCCCCUCUUGCUCUCCCGUCUCCCCCUCUCCCUCUCUCUCUCUCCUUUCUCUACUCCCUAUCCCACACCGUUAGGUUUCUACAGCUCUGGGCUGGGAGCCAAGACUUGCUUCUCUUCGCCACCUCAGAUGACACCUGCCAGGAGAGAGGAGCGGGGUGCCUGUAUACCAGUGCAGGACGAGGUGCCCAGGCCUGGCAGAGAGACCUCUGUCUUCCCAAUACCUCUCAAACAGCAAGAAGGAAGCGGAGCAGUUUGGAAGCCGUGGCAGGCGCCGACAGCGCCUCUGAACCGGAGCCUGGGAGGGGAGAGAAAGAAGAGGAGACGCCAAGGGGCUGCUCUUUGGCCCCCUCCCUCGACCUUGGAGGAUUCCUCCCCUACCCCGCGAAGGCGGCUGCAGUCCCACCCCACCCCCCACCCUCCAAGAACGCGACCUCCUAGCCCGGACUCCCGGCUCCGCGGAUUCAGUCUCCCGGGCCAGAGUCCUUUCCACCCCACUCCCACCCACUGGAGACCAAGUCGGGUGAAGUGGGAAAAAGGAAGCAAGCACCCAACGAGGGACCCAGAAGGGCCUGAUGGCCCUAAGAAGUUAGUAGGCUCUCUUCCCACUCGCCCUUCCAACUCCCCCACGCCCCCCGCGCGCGCACUAUCUCCCCAGGGCUCAUCUGGGUCCUGGUCCACUCUGCCUUCCUGAGAACUGAAUCCACCGAACUCCUGGAGAAGGAGGUGCCCAGCCUCUUCUUCCUUCCUGGAUGUUUGCUUCUACUGCCCGACUCCCUCCCCAGAGGAGGAUUGGCUAGGGAGAUUGCCACUCUCAGUGUGCAAAUUGUGCAUCGCACAACUCCAGGGGGCACCAUUUCUCUCGUGGUCAUUGUAGGUUUGUGUAGCUGUUAUGACAGUUUUCCAGCAGAUGGCAGUCAAGCAUUUCGAGGGAGGGGUGCCUUCUCCUAAUUCAGCUGGUGUUGCUAUUUGGGCUAGUGCCUGGGGCUGACUAGGCCCUCUGUGAGAUCUUAUUGGUGCCUGUUUCCCCGGCCCCUUGCCUCAGUCCUGCUGGGAUCCGGAGAGACCCUAGAGUAACAUUUGAGCAGAGACCCACCUCCUAGGUUCUCUCUGGUCUCCCAGUACUCACCCAUUCUCCACACAAAGGCUUCUGCUGUCCUGGAGCUGGUUUCAGGCUAAGAGUGCGUGUCAGGGCACAAUCGGUGGCCCAGUGUGGAUUUUUUUUAUUAUUAUUAAUCUUAUUUUAUUUAUUUAUUUAUCUUUGGCUUGGCUUAGCCUAGAAAGCGGCAAGGCAGCCAAGCCAAAGUGCAGAUCAGAGACCGUUUUCCUUCUUCCCGCUUCCUGCUUCCUCUCCCAGGGCAGCAGUUUUUCAUUUCAGUCUCACAGCAAUUAGGCCCUCUCCUACCUUCUCCAGUGUAGACUGUCCAGGUGAUAUGAGGAAGAGAGGGGCUGGAAGCUGAAAGUGUAGGGACAGAACCAAAAAGUUGCAAACUGACGGCACCUACUGGCAAUCAUCAAGACUGCAGAAGGUCUGGAGAGUUCUGGCGGGGGACAAGAUUCUGGGAUUCUCUCCCUGCCAUCUAUCUCACAGACAUACUGGGGUCUCUUCUUUUUUGGAGCAGGGAAAACAGAGCCAGGUUCCUCACGUCCCUGGGGGAAGCCCAGCCUGUCCCUGAUUCAGAAAACUUCCCCCAGCCCUCUCCCCACCUUCCAUCAUCUUGAACCCGGUUCUGCCACCAACUCAUUGUAUGAAGUUGGACACCACUCCUUAGAGCUUGAAUGUCCCUAACUCUAAAAUAGAGGUAAGGUCAUCUCCACCAAUCCUGCCUCUUAAAGCUCUUAUGAGAGUAAAAUGGGACCAGAAAGGAUGGUUUUGAUACCAACACCAGACUUGCCCCGUAGACAGCAAACCUGGGAGAGCUAAAGGCGCUGGGAGGUGGAGGAAGGAGUGCAGGAGAGGCUGGACUGAAAGCAAAAAAGUACCUGGAGGUGAAGCAUGAGUGCAGGUGUGGGAAAUCCAGAAAGGUUUCUAGGUGAGACAGGUGCCCAGACCUCUACCCCAGCAUCCCCGAUCUAUUUGCUGGUGCGCACCCACCCCCCAACAUCACUGUCUAGGAUAAUUCCAAGGAAGCAGGAAAAUAGAUAUAAGUAGGCCAUCCAAGCACCUUCCCAUCAUUCAUGCAACACCUAUUUACUGGACGCUGAUUGUAUGCAGGCUUUGUGCUACAUACUGAGGACACAGAAAUGGCCAAGAUGACUCUCUGCCCUCAAGGAGCUCACUGUCUAGUGAGGGGAGGCAGGCAUAAAAAUAAAAUAAGCCUAAGAAGUGUGCAAGUGCCCUGGGAGAUAUCCAUGUGGGGCACUGUGGGGACCCAGAUACACAAGUGGUCAGUUCUACAUCCAAGGCAUGGAAAAGCUUCACAGAGAAGGUGACUCAUGAGCCAACCAUCUUCCAUGCUGGAGGAAAAAGCACAGGUAUUAACAUCAGGCCAACCUGGAUUCUAAUCCCAGCUUUGCCACUAGACUCACUGGGGAACCUGAAACAAGUUACUCUGAGCUUCACUGUCCUUACCUCGAAAAUAGGGCUUUGUGAUAAAGAAAGAAGGGUGAGGAGGAGAGAGUGGCUUGUGCAAAUUGCCCAGCCUACAGGGGGCGCUGAGUGUUUGCUAUCCCACCCUAUCCCACCCUGCAGGAAACUAUAAUUCUCCACCGGGCCCCUGGUGAGCCCCCGGUGGCAGGACCUGUUUCCCUCAGCAGAAUGGAGGCUCUCAGAGGACUGGGUUUAGUGUCCCCCCUGGGCUUGCUGGUGUCUGGGGAUAGGCUAAAUAAAGGGCACAGGAUUUGGAGUGAGAGGACCUGGGUUCAAGUUGCAGCACAGUCACUUAAGAGCUGUGUGACCUUGGAUACCCACUUAAUGUCUUGAAGGGUCAUUUCAUCCAUUUUAAAAAGAGAAAAAAAAAAAAUUCUGAGUUCAGUUCUCCAGUGUUUUUUACAUGCUCUUGAAACAAAGAUAUAACUAACCCUAAAAACAUAUAAUAAAAAUAAAAAAUAAAAAAACAAAGAGCAAAAGAGAUAAUUGGGCUUACCCCACAGGAUGAUUGCAAGAGAAAAUGAGAUAAUGGAUAAGAAAGCGUUCUGGAACCCAAGAAAUGGGGUACAGAUGCUGCUCAUUGGUUUUCUCCACCUGAUUGCUGCCUCCUUGAGGCCUGAGAGCACGUCCUGGAGCCCCCAGAGAUAGAAACAUGGCCUUCCUUCCCUGUCAUCUUUUCCAGCCCAAGGCUCCACCGGAAAAGGAACCUCUGUGGGGCACUAGGCUGGCUCACUUGGAAGAGCAUGUGACUCUUGAUCUCAGAGUUGUGAGUUCCAGUCCCAUGCUGGAUUACUGAAAAAUAAAAUAAACUUAAAAAAAAAAAAAAAAAA